GAUGAAGAACGCAGCGAAUCGCGAUAAGUAAUGUGAAUUGCAGAUUUUCCGUGAAUCAUCGAGUCUUUGAACGCACAUUGCGCCCCCUGGUAUUCCGGGGGGCAUGCCUGUCCGAGCGUCAUUGCUGCCCUCAAGCACGGCUUGUGUGUUGGGCCUCCGUCCUCCUCCCGGGGGACGGGCCCGAAAGGCAGCGGCGGCACCGCGUCCGGUCCUCGAGCGUAUGGGGCUUCGUCACCCGCUCUUGUAGGCCCGGCCGGCGCUUGCCGACACAUCAAUCUUUUUUCCAGGUUGACCUCGGAUCAGGUAGGGAUACCCGCUGAACUUAAGCAUAUCAAUAAGCGGAGGA
rnacentral:misc_RNA from 1 species